rnacentral:rRNA from 1 species
UGGGGAAUUUUGGACAAUGGGGGAAACCCUGAUCCAGCCAUCCCGCGUGUGCGAUGAAGGCCUACGGGUUGUAAAGCACUUUUGGCAGGAAAGAAACGUCAUGGGUUAAUACCCCGUGAAACUGACGGUACCUGCAGAAUAAGCACCGGCUAACUACGUGCCAGCAGCCGCGGUAAUACGUAGGGUGCAAGCGUUAAUCGGAAUUACUGGGCGUAAAGCGUGCGCAGGCGGUUCGGAAAGAAAGAUGUGAAAUCCCAGAGCUCAACUUUGGAACUGCAUUUUUAACUACCGGGCUAGAGUGUGUCAGAGGGAGGUGGAAUUCCGCGUGUAGCAGUGAAAUGCGUAGAUAUGCGGAGGAACACCGAUGGCGAAGGCAGCCUCCUGGGAUAACACUGACGAUCAUGCACGAAAGCGUGGGGAGCAAACAGG